rnacentral:tRNA from 1 species
UCAUUAGAUGGCUGAAAGCAAGCAAUGGUCUCUUAAACCAAGAUAUAAUAGUAUAGCACCUAUUUCUAAU